GAACGUACGCUGGCGGCACGCCUAACACAUGCAAGUCGAACGAAGUAGCAAUACUUAGUGGCAGACGGGUGAGUAACAUGUAGGUAUCUGCCCUUUGGCCUGGAAUAACACGAGGAAACUUGUGCUAAUACCGGAUAAGUCUUUACGGAGAAAGCUUUAUGCACCAUUGGAUGAGCCUGCACUUGAUUAGUUUGUUGGUGGGGUAAUGGCCUACCAAGACUGUGAUCAAUAGCUGAUUUGAGAGGAUGAUCAGCCACAUUGGGACUGAGACACGGCCCAAACUCCUACGGGAGGCAGCAGUGGGGAAUCUUGCACAAUGGAGGAAACUCUGAUGCAGCGAUGCCGCGUGAGUGAAGAAGGCCUUUGGGUUGUAAAGCUCUUUCGUCGGGGAAGAAAAUGACUGUACCCGAAUAAGAAGGUCCGGCUAACUUCGUGCCAGCAGCCGCGGUAAUACGAAGGGACCUAGCGUAGUUCGGAAUUACUGGGCUUAAAGAGUUCGUAGGUGGUUGAAAAAGUUAGUGGUGAAAUCCCAGAGCUUAACUCUGGAACUGCCAUUAAAACUUUUCAGCUAGAGUAUGAUAGAGGAAAGCAGAAUUUCUAGUGUAGAGGUGAAAUUCGUAGAUAUUAGAAAGAAUACCAAUUGCGAAGGCAGCUUUCUGGAUCAUUACUGACACUGAGGAACGAAAGCAUGGGUAGCGAAGAGGAUUAGAUACCCUCGUAGUCCAUGCCGUAAACGAUGUGUGUUAGACGUUGGAAAUUUAUUUUCAGUGUCGCAGGGAAACCGAUAAACACACCGCCUGGGGAGUACGACCGCAAGGUUAAAACUCAAAUGAAUUGACGGGGACCCGCACAAGUAGUGGAGCAUGUGGUUUAAUUCGAAGAUACGCGCAGAACCUUACCAACACUUGACAUGUUCGUCGCGACUCUAAGAGAUUAGAGUUUUCGGUUCGGCCGGACGAAACACAGGUGCUGCAUGGCUGUCGUCAGCUCGUGUCGUGAGAUGUUGGGUUAAGUCCCGCAACGAGCGCAACCCUCACUUUUAGUUGCCAUCAUUAAGUUGGGCACUCUGAAAGAACUGCCAGUGAUAAGCUGGAGGAAGGUGGGGAUGACGUCAAGUCCUCAUGGCCCUUACGUGUUGGGCUACACACGUGCUACAAUGGUAUCUACAACAGGAAGCAAGACUGCGAAGUUAAGCAAAUCCCUAAAAGAUACCUCAGUUCGGAUUGCACUCUGCAACUCGAGUGCAUGAAGCUGGAAUUACUAGUAAUCGUGGAUCAGCGUGCCACGGUGAAUGCGUUCCCGGGUCUUGUACUCACCGCCCG
rnacentral:rRNA from 1 species